rnacentral:rRNA from 1 species
AUUGAACGCUGGCGGAAUGCUUUACACAUGCAAGUCGAACGGCAGCACGGGGGCAGCCCUGGUGGCGAGUGGCGAACGGGUGAGUAAUACAUCGGAACGUGCCCGGUCGUGGGGGAUAACGUAGCGAAAGUUACGCUAAUACCGCAUACGAUCUGAGGAUGAAAGCGGGGGACCUUCGGGCCUCGCGCGAUCGGAGCGGCCGAUGUCAGAUUAGGUAGUUGGUGGGGUAAAGGCCUACCAAGCCGACGAUCUGUAGCUGGUCUGAGAGGACGACCAGCCACACUGGGACUGAGACACGGCCCAGACUCCUACGGGAGGCAGCAGUGGGGAAUUUUGGACAAUGGGCGCAAGCCUGAUCCAGCUAUUCCGCGUGCAGGACGAAGGCCUUCGGGUUGUAAACUGCUUUUGUACGGAACGAAAAGGCUCUGGCUAAUACCUGGGGCUCAUGACGGUACCGUAAGAAUAAGCACCGGCUAACUACGUG